GCCGACAUAGCACAACUGGUAGUGCAACUGAUUUGUAAUCAGUAGGUUCGGGGUUCAAGUCCUCGUGUCGGCACCA
rnacentral:tRNA from 2 species